GAUGGACUCGUUUCCGAACUACCGAACCGAGCCGUGACGAAAAAAAAAGUCCACCCUCCCUCGAUCCAGCACCUUCCCCGAUCUCCCACAUCCCGCACCUCCCGCACCCGACAGCGACGCGCCCGCCGCCCCGUCCCCAACCGGCGGCGCCGCCACCACCAACCCCACAACCAGAGACGCGACCGUCGCUGCCCCGCCACGCCCCAACCGGAGACACCGCCGCCCCAAGAUCCCGCCGCCGCCACCACCUGCGCACAUCGCCGGCGUUGUGGUCCCCGGCUUUCCCCACCGCCGCGCCCAGCCUCCCACGCGCUCGCCUCCUGCCUCUGCGCACCGCCGCCCUACCUCCCGCGCGCUGCAGCCUGCUACCGCGCACCACCGUCCCCCAUCCAGCCAUCCCACGCGCUGCUUCACCUCCGUGCGCUUCUGCCUUCUUCCACUGCGGGGAUGCCCUCCCUCUCCCCGGCGUUGCUGGAAAAACACCGGCGACAGGCUCCUCUGUGACCGCCGACCUCACCAGUGCGACUUUUAUUGUUUUUGUUGAAGUUCAGAUUUAACGUACAGAGAAGAUUUAGCGUUCAGAACGCAGACUCCUAUCAACAUGGAUUUAAUUUUCGCGUUGCUGAUUCAUGUAUCUUGUUUCUAUGUUUUGUGUUUGGGAAGUGCAAAUUUUUGUGUUGGUGAGGUUAAUUCAUCAUGCGUCACAGAUUCUGACAAGGGGACGGUAGCAGUUUGCCGUGCUGAAAAGGGGCAUUUAAGUUGAUGAAUGCUCUAGAGUAAAUGCUUUCUUUGUUGGUACUCCACCAGUACUAGAUUGAAUCUAAUAUUUUUGUAGAAAUGAUCAUUUGCAAGUUACAGUACGAGCUACAAUUUUUUCAGUUGAAAACUUUACUGUAUGUGGACAGAUGAUGACCUCUUUUGGCAUUUGCAGCUCCAACCUUUGCGCCUAGUGCCUGAUAUUAUAGCAGAAAAAUCGGAAGAUAUUUGUUGCCACGGAUUGAAAGGUGAAAGGGAUGGGUGAUGGGCUGAUGGCUACUGCAUCUUCCGUCAAACUAUUUCUUCUCGUCUACUUGCAGGAUCCCAACACCAAUUUCUUCGGCUUCCAUUCUUCAUCAGGCUAACAGGGAAAAGCUUCUUCAUCACUGCAUCAUCAGGAAGGGAGGUGCCUCUUAUUUGUGCUGUUCUUGGAUGCGAUGGUGCCGUGGAGGAUAGAGGCGCGCCUGGCGGAGACGGUGUGAGUGGUGCUCCUUGGCUGGCUCUCGUCUUGCCUCACCGUCGUCGGCUACUUCAGGAUGCAUCUCACGCUCAUGGAGGUGGUGGUGUCUCCAGCGAGCUCCUCCAUCCCCGAGUGUGACACAUCCACGGCAGCGUCCUCCCUCACAUUCCCUUCCCCAUCCGUUUUCUUCUCUAGGUGGCCGCGCUGCAGGCGCUCGUCCUCUUCGAAGGUCCAGCUACCAGCUUCUGCAAAUCGUCCCAAUUAUACUUGCUACUGUGAUGCAACAACAGACCUUGCGAGAAAGAGCUAGUUUGAUCAGCAAUAAAGGUAAAAAACUGGAUAUAUUAUGUUGUAACUAAGUCCAGUACGCAUGUUUGUUGUUAUGCCCAUGAGAGUUGGCCAUUUCAUUUUAUAAGGUUUUCCAUUUGAUUGAUGAUGAAUCGUAGGAGUUCAAUUAGGUGCUAAAAACCAUAAGACAAGUUCAGAACGAAAAAGCAUGAAGUUCACCUUUAUUACUGUUGGAAAAAAUUAACACUUGUUGCAGUAUUUUAGAUACAUCAUUUCUAUUUUUUGUUCUUCAGAAGUGCAAACCACCAAGCCGCUGGCUAUUGUAAUCCUGUUCGAAGGCCAUACUAGGAAUGCUUGAAGUAUCUUCUGAGUUUGGUCAAAAACUCUUUCCAAUGGGUUUGAUUUCCGUGUGUUAUUUAGUAAUGCUAAGCUUUCCCGCAUGUUGAUGCAUCCCACGUGCACAUCUUCAACCUCAUUCAUGUAUGUUCUGUGUGUAGAAAACUGG
rnacentral:rRNA from 1 species